rnacentral:pre_miRNA from 13 species
GCCCGUAUGGAAAAAUCGAUUUUUCCAUACGGGCCUCUUAAGAGGGUCACUUAAGUGCCCGCAUGGAAAAAUCGAUUUUUCCAUACGGGC